AAUCAACCGAGAUUCCCCCAGUAGCGGCGAGCGAACGGGGAGCAGCCCGGAGUCUGAAUCAGCUUGUGUGUUAGUGGAACGGUCUGGAAAGUCCGACGGUACAGGGUGAUAGUCCCGUACACGAAAAAACACAUGCUGUGAACUCGAAGAGUAGGGCGGGACACGUGGUAUCCUGUCUGAAUAUGGGGGGACCAUCCUCCAAGGCUAAAUACUCCUGACUGACCGAUAGUGAACCAGUACCGUGAGGGAAAGGCG
rnacentral:rRNA from 1 species